AAAAAAAAGAAAGAAAGAGAAGGCUAUUGAGAUUGAACAGAGGAUAUGAUUCGCAGUUACAUUUUCCCAGCUCAUCUUUGCUUCCCAUGGUGUCAACUCAGGGGAUGCAAAUGGUUGGAAUGGCUCAAACUACAUCAUGAGAUUAGAGCCUGGUCCUCUAUGUUGACUGAGAGUCUCAGUUCUCCUCCACGUGGCCUCUCCUUGAGGUCAGCUUACAUUUCCUCAAAACGUGGCGGCCUCAGGGCAGUUGGGUUUCUUGUGCGCUGGCUCAGGGCUCCUGAGAGGAUAAAAUCAGAAUAUCUUGUUCUUCGUCAGGCUUGGGCCCAGACUAGCACAGCAUCAUUAUCUUUUUAUUCUGUGAGUUAACGUAUUUCAGAGGACCAGUGCCAAUUCGGAGUGGAGAGGGCUGCAUAAGAACACGAAUACUGGGAGGUGGCUUCAUUUGGGGCCAUCUUUGGAGACCAACUACAGUGCAUGAUGUAACUGCCCUGAAUUCCCAAGCUCCUAUCCCCAGCUCCAGCAUAAGGCAUGUGUGGGCCAUCGCAGCUUGAAUUAAUCAGGACGGAAGAAGAGACGCAAUGAUACCGGCCAGUGAUCCGUGGUGGGAGAUAGACUGCGGAACUGCCCAUGAGGCCAAGCACCUAUUAGUAGACCAAGAAGCAUCAUCCAUCCGUGACCUAAGCUGGCAGCCAGCUAUUGUUCUCAUCUGAGUCUGGGAGUUCAGGAUUUCUAUCCGGACCCGGCUACUUUCUUUCGACAGUUACCCACUGUAAAUUUCCGAAUACUUUCAGCUGCUAAUCCUGGUGUACCCAAUUAAAAAUGCCUUUCCUAAUAAAGGCAUUUCAGAUAGAAUUUA